UGUAUUUUAUUAUUUUAAGUGGGGACGGGUACAUAUUUCCCGAUUUUGAUAACAAUUGAUAACAGCGAACUUGAUGAGAAAAAAAAAUAAUGCUUACGCCAACCUAUUAAAGUUAGAAAAAAUCUCAAUUCCCGUGGCGUUCACCAGCGAAUAAAUCAAAAAUAAAAAAUCUGUUUCAUAGCGAGAAAUUUUACCUUUUAUAAAAUAAAACCCUGUUUAGUUAGCUUUUAAUCGGCGAAGUUAGGUUUUUAUCAUUUAAUUAUCAUAAAUCAUAAUAUAAUAUUUAUAUUUUAAAUUUAAAUUUUAAUACUUUUAACUUUAUACUUUAUACCAAUACUUUAAUCUCUAUUCUAUGCAUUAUACUUAAUUAUUUAAAUUUUUGGAGUUAAGUGCUGCUUUAAUAUUAGUGAAAGUAUACUUACUGUGCUAUAAGAAAUAAAUGUAAUAUAUAAUAAUAUGUUAAAUGUGCCAAACAAACCUAACCAUAUUUAUUGGAAAGUCUGGAUUGCAGUACAAUAUCGACAGUAUUAUUUCAACAAGAUAUUUUUCUUUACAUUAUUAAAAUGAUUUAAAUGGCAAUGAAUGUUUUUAAUUUUGGUUUUUUUUUUGCACUAAAAAAUAAAAUAAGUACUUUAAAUUUAUUUUAAUUCUUAACCUUUCAAAUUAUUCAUAGUUUUUUAGUUAUUUAAGGUUUAAUUUUGUUGUGUGACAAUUUCUUGUUUUUAAAAUGUAUUAACUGUAUCAAUCUAUUCAGUAUUUAUAAUUUAUUGGUAUAUUUAGAAAAAAUGAAUUAAAGUUUAAUUAA